rfam:Monoraphidium neglectum strain SAG 48.87 mitochondrion, whole genome shotgun sequence.
GCGAGCCGUAUGAAUUGAAAGGUUCACGUACGGUUCUGAGGGCAGUUUGAUAACCCUAAAGGGCGGAUAUCCUAAACGACCCCCUAGGGCCCCGGGGGACCUUAGGUCCCCGGGCCCUCGUCGUUCAGCCCCAAUGAGUUCGACCAUGCACAGCAUGGACGAGGGCCGCCUUAGCGGCCCUAGACAACCCUAAGGACAUCCUUCUGACCCCUAC